rnacentral:tRNA from 1 species
UGGAGGCGUGUCCCGGAAUUGAACCGGGGUCAACGGAUUUGCAGUCCGUUGCAUAACCACUCUGCCAACACGCC